UACGUAGGGUGCAAGCGUUGACCGGAAUUAUUGGGCGUAAAGAGCUCGUAGGCGGUUUGUUGCGUCGGCUGUGAAAUCCCGAGGCUCAACCUCGGGUCUGCAGUCGAUACGAGCAAACUAGAGUGUUGCAGGGGAGACUGGAAUUCCUGGUGUAGCGGUGAAAUGCGCAGAUAUCAGGAGGAACACCGGUGGCGAAGGCGGGUCUCUGGGCAACAACUGACGCUGAGGAGCGAAAGCCAGGGGAGCAAACAGG
rnacentral:rRNA from 1 species